AUUGAACGCUGGCGGCAGGCCUAACACAUGCAAGUCGAACGAGUGGCGGACGGGUGAGUAAUGCCUGGGAAACUGCCCGAUGGAGGGGGAUAACUACUGGAAACGGUAGCUAAUACCGCAUACCAUCGGAUGUGCCCAGAUGGGAUUAGCUUGUAGGUGAGGCAACGGCUCACCUAGGCGACGACCCCUAGCUGGUCUGAGAGGAUGACCAGCCACACUGGAACUGAGACACGGUCCAGACUCCGACGGAGGGCAGCAGUGGGGAAUAUUGCACAAUGGGCGCAAGCCUAAUGCAGCCAUGCCGCGUGUAUGAGGAAGGCCUUCGGAUUGUAAAGUACUUUCGGCGGAGAGGCGUUACCCGACGAGAAAGCACCGGCUAACUCCGUGCCAGCAGCCGCGGUAAUUC
rnacentral:rRNA from 1 species